rnacentral:rRNA from 1 species
AUUGAACGCUGGCGGCAUGCUUUACACAUGCAAGUCGAACGGUAACAGGCCGCAAGGUGCUGACGAGUGGCGAACGGGUGAGUAAUGCAUCGGAACGUGCCCAGUCGUGGGGGAUAACGCAGCGAAAGCUGCGCUAAUACCGCAUACGAUCUGUGGAUGAAAGCGGGGGACCGAAAGGCCUCGCGCGAUUGGAGCGGCCGAUGUCAGAUUAGGUAGUUGGUGGGGUAAAGGACCACCAAGCCAACGAUCUGUAGCUGGUCUGAGAGGACGACCAGCCACACUGGGACUGAGACACGGCCCAUACUCCUACGGGAGGCAGCAGGGGGGAAUUUUGGACAAUGGGCGCAAGCCUGUUCCAGCAAUGCCGCGUGCAGGAAGAAGGCCUUCGGGUUGUAAACUGCUUUUGUACGGAACGAAACGGCUCUGGUUAAUACCUGGGGCUAAUGACGGUACCGUAAGAAUAAGCACCGGCUAACUACGUGCCAGCCGCCGCCGUAAAAC